GUGCCAGCAGCCGCGGUAAUACGAAGGGACCUAGCGUAGUUCGGAAUUACUGGGCUUAAAGAGUUCGUAGGUGGUUGAAAAAGUUGGUGGUGAAAUCCCAGAGCUUAACUCUGGAACUGCCAUCAAAACUUUUCAGCUAGAGUAUGAUAGAGGAAAGCAGAAUUUCUAGUGUAGAGGUGAAAUUCGUAGAUAUUAGAAAGAAUACCAAUUGCGAAGGCAGCUUUCUGGAUCAUUACUGACACUGAGGAACGAAAGCAUGGGUAGCGAAGAGGAUUGAUACCCUCGUAGUCCAUGCCGUAAACGAUGUGUGUUAGACGUUGGAAAUUUAUUUUCAGUGUCGCAGGGAAACCGAUAAACACACCGCCUGGGGAGUACGACCGCAAGGUUAAAACACAAAUGAAUUGACGGGGACCCGCACAAGUAGUGGAGCAUGUGGUUUAAUUCGAAGAUACGCGCAGAACCUUACCAACACUUGACAUGUUCGUCGCGACUCUAAGAGAUUAGAGUUUUCGGUUCGGCCGGACGAAACACAGGUGCUGCAUGGCUGUCGUCAGCUCGUGUCGUGAGAUGUUGGGUUAAGUCCCGCAACGAGCGCAACCCUCACUUUUAGUUGCCAUCAUUAAGUUGGGCACUCUGAAAGAACUGCCAGUGAUAAGCUGGAGGAAGGUGGGGAUGACGUCAAGUCCUCAUGGCCCUCACGUGUUGGGCUACACACGUGCUACAAUGGCAUCUACAACAGGAAGCAAAACGGCAACGUUAAGCAAAUCCCGAAAAGAUGCCUCAGUUCGGAUUGCACUCUGCAACUCGAGUGCAUGAAGCUGGAAUUACUAGUAAUCGUGGAUCAGCGUGCCACGGUGAAUGCGUUCCCGGGUCUUGUACACACCGCCCGUCACACC
rnacentral:rRNA from 1 species